ensembl:lncRNA
CUCACAGACUCAGCUCUGCUGUCAAAAGGAAGCUUACAGGAAAUAACAGCUUAAUGUCUGCAGAGUCCACACGUUAGUUUGUUACACUGAGACAUUUGAAUGUUUUCUGGCAUUUGCCUUAUUUUAGUAAAACAUUUUUAUUUAGUUUUAUUUAGCUUUAAUUCACAUGUUGAGCUAUUUUUGUACGAUUUUUAAAAUAUUUUGCUCACAUUUUCACUUGUUUUAUUAAUUUUCUUUAUUAUUUUAUUCUUUUUAUUCUACCCUAUGUAUAUUUUCAUUUAUGUUUAUGCUUAUUUAAAACAUUGCAUGUUAAUUAAUGUGAGCACUUAAACAUAAGCAACAUUUUAACUUUUUAUUUUAUUUUGUCGACAUUUUUGUUUACAUCCGUUUCCUUCAGUUUUUUGUUGUUGUUUCUUUCUUUUUCAAAUUCAGGGUCAUAUUUUGGCUGCUCUAACGGGAAGCUUGGGACAAAUAAAGUGUAUUAAUAAGCGAACAGACUCUAGUAAUUAAUGACUACGUAUGUACUGACGUCAAACGUAUGCUGUAGGAGCGUGUUGCGAUGGUAACGGACAACACACCGGACAAGAGCCGCUAAACAGGGUCGAGAUGACCAUGUCGCAGCUGGAUGUCGACGGUUUUCCAAUUUCGUGGAAAGAUCCACAGGAUGCAGACACAGUAUCCAUGUUUGAUGUGAUUUACGGCAAAGUGAGAGAGCUCAUUAUGAAAAUCUCAACUUUCAGCUGAACAAACAGUACAUAUGGGAUCACAUAACAGGCCUGCUGCUGAUUUAUCCAUCCUACCUGCUGCACAUCAUUGAAGUAAGUUCUCCUGCACAGAAACAACAAAUGUAUGGCUGAAGUUUGUGAAAGUGUGUGCUCAAAGUUUGCUGUGCCUCUCUCUUCCAGUCGUCCAGGGAUAUUCUGACUUCUGUUUUGAGAGACGUCAAAGUCAUGCAACAACAGCCACACCGCACCUUGCUGGAAGUAAAGAUUGUGUUUUUGGAUCACAACCCUCAAAGAAGGCUGUUCCAGCAGUGGAGCUACAAGGUGCUGGGUGCAGAUCAGGUGAUCAGGGAUCCCGCAGUUAAGGUACUGGAGGAUGAAGAUGUCAGCAUAGAGACCCUUGUAUGCAGCGUCCUGUCAACGCUGCAAAAUCUGAGCAAAAAGCUUGAAAAAUCUAAGGCUCUUCCUGGGUCAGUGUUGGAUGAGACACCGCAGCUGAUCGUCCAUCAGAAAAUUCUGGAAAGGCUUUUGGGUCGAGAGGAACUCCUGAGCCUGCAGCAGUACCUAGAUAUGUACAAAUCCACCUUAAACAUCAGUAUUGAGUUUGGACAGCUGAAUCCAAGAAACCUUUUCUCCGCUGUUUAACCCCUGAACAAAAUGUCAAAGGCCAACUGUUUCCUGACUGACUGUUUCCCUGUAGUGAUUUUGGUUCCUACACUGAAAAUAUUUGCUGCACUUACUGUUCACUUAUUCUAGUGAUACUUGUGGUCGUCAGACAUCCUCUGCCUUUCCUGUCUUUUAUGAUAAAUAGUACGUGUCCAAAAGAUCCAUUCACUCUUUGCUUCCCCUUUAUUGUCUGUGUACCUAGCC